CAACAUCCUACGUUGAAAAUGGACUAGACGAUACUGAUAAUAAUAAUGGUUUUAUGCAAAAUUGCAGUGCAACAGAUCACUCAACGGUUGCUGAGCAUGAAUUAACAUUUUUAGCGCUUGGAAUAGUUUCAACAUCCUAUGUUUAAUAUGGAUUAGAAGAUUGCAGUACAGCAGAUCUUUCAAGCCAUGAUGAAACAUGAAUUACCGUUUUUAGCACUUGGGAAAAUUUGGACAUCCCAUGUUGAAAUUUGACUAGACAAUACUGAUAAUAAUAAUA
rnacentral:lncRNA from 1 species